rnacentral:rRNA from 1 species
UACGGAGGAUGCGAGCGUUAUCCGGAUUUAUUGGGUUUAAAGGGUGCGUAGGCGGUCUGGACAGUCAGUGGUGAAAGUUUUGGGCUCAACCUGAAAAUUGCCAUUGAAACUAUCAGACUUGAGUAUAUUUGAAGUAGGCGGAAUUCGUAGUGUAGCGGUGAAAUGCAUAGAUAUUACGAGGAACUCCAAUUGCGCAGGCAGCUUACUAAGCUAUAACUGACGCUGAGGCACGAAAGUGUGGGUAUCAAAC